rnacentral:lncRNA from 1 species
GGUGGAGACUGCAGUGAGCUGAGAUCACACCACUGCACUCCAGUCUGGGCGACAGAAUGAGACUCCGUCUCAAAAAAAAAAAAAAAAAAAAAAGCAAGGAAAGUGACAGGGAAGGAGAAGGCAUGGACACCACCUGCUGGGCUUGCCUCACAAAUAACUUGGCUGAGGGGCAGGAGAAGGAAAGUUCACGGGAGAAGCUCAGAGUACUGCAGGACAGAAGAGAGGUGUAAUUUCAUAGCCUAUGAAGAUUAAUUGAGAUGGAUUUUUGAAAACCUGCCUAGCCAACUUAGCUAAGGGACAGCAUUCCCCUAACACUCUCAGGAUUGGUGUGACAAUGAAACCUGCUCCUUUCAGAACCAUGAGAAUGCUACCUCUGCCGACAACAUUCCCGUCCAACUAAGUUCAAGCCAGACUGCUCUUGAGUCAUUGGUUAGUAACCCAUGGGAAGAGGAAGAGUAGUUGCAGUUGACCUAUAAACUCUGCCUUGGCCUUGUCUCAAGCUAACCCCUAUUACAACCCACAGACUGUCCCUAGAGUCAGAAGUUGUCCCCAGACUUGUCCUAAUGGCCUAGCACAGUGGGACGCUGUCCAAGAGUCAUGGUCAUCAAGAGACCUUCAGAGACCACUUAAUUAUACAAGACUUCAUUUGCUAAACUCCUAAAAUUCCUGAGUGCCGUGGGACAAGGCAAGGAAGAUGUAGUUGCCGGGCAAGAAAAGUGAGCAACCAUCUAGUUACUGAUACAAGGUCCCUAGGUUCAAAUGCAAAUGCAAGUAGCCCCUGGCCUGUGCUGUCCAGUACAAGAACCAAAGAGCACACAUGGCUACUUAAGUUGGCGAAUGCAACUAAGGAACUGAGUGUCAACUUUUAAUUCAUUUCAAGUGAUCUUAUUUAAAUGCAAAAACUGAAGCAACGUAAAAUAUGUUCCAUUAAACAUUAAUGCAUUGCUUUUGUAGAACUACAUUUCACUUUAAAUACUAUAUUGCUUAAAAUAUUAUUUGGUGCAUUAUAGCAGAUAAGUCUACAAACGAAAGCAUCACUGAUCUACUUGGUGUCAAUAAAGUGUUUCCAUUUAAAUGUUUUUUUCUAAAC